rnacentral:lncRNA from 1 species
GAGCUGAGCAGAGAUGGGAACAUAUCUCUGAGGAUAUGUCAUUUCAAAAGAAAACAUCUCAGAGAAUCUGGGCUAUCUAGCCUUCGGGACAAAUAAGGGCAAGACAGGCCUGGGAACCUUCUAGAAGCUGCCCACCUGGAAUGAACCAGUCGACUCCCCUUCUUCCCUCUCUCCCCUUCCCUCCUGCUGUCAUCCAAGAGAUGGCCAAGAAGCACAAGUCAGCAUCAAGACACACAGCUGGAAAUGGGACUGCAGAGGUGACUGACCAUGUGGCCUAGGAGUCAGAAUCCUCAAAUGGGAAGGCCCUAACUGAGGGCAGAAACCCAGAUCUACCUCCUUUGGUGAGCUUGUUGUGGCUUCCAGAUGCAGUGAGGAAGGAACACGUGCCAGGUGCCUCUUUCUCACCCUGGAGCCAGGCACAAGAGUUAUGCUCAGGGAUGCCCAAGCCUAGGGACUAUCUCAGACACAGGAGGUCACUCUCAUGAUGUGGUUUGAGAACCUGGGGUGCUAAAGAUUAUGGUUUUUUUUUCAUAUUCUGCUGGUUUGAGAGAAAAUUACCUUUUAAAAAUGACCAGUAGGUGGUCAGAUUUUCUUUCUAAAUUAAAAGUUGACAUAAAAAUACUUUUUUUUUGACUCAGCACUUCAGUCAUUCUAGUUUGACCAAUUGUCUUUCAUAGAUAAAGAACAUGC